GCAGUCGAGCGGUAGAGAGGUGCUUGCACCUCUUGAGAGCGGCGGACGGGUGAGUAAAGCCUAGGAAUCUGCCUGGUAGUGGGGGAUAACGCUCGGAAACGGACGCUAAUACCGCAUACGUCCUACGGGAGAAAGCAGGGGACCUUCGGGCCUUGCGCUAUCAGAUGAGCCUAGGUCGGAUUAGCUAGUUGGUGAGGUAAUGGCUCACCAAGGCGACGAUCCGUAACUGGUCUGAGAGGAUGAUCAGUCACACUGGAACUGAGACACGGUCCAGACUCCUACGGGAGGCAGCAGUGGGGAAUAUUGGACAAUGGGCGAAAGCCUGAUCCAGCCAUGCCGCGUGUGUGAAGAAGGUCUUCGGAUUGUAAAGCACUUUAAGUUGGGAGGAAGGGCAUUAACCUAAUACGUUAGUGUUUUGACGUUACCGACAGAAUAAGCACCGGCUAACUCUGUGCCAGCAGCCGCGGUAAUACAGAGGGUGCAAGCGUUAAUCGGAAUUACUGGGCGUAAAGCGCGCGUAGGUGGUUCGUUAAGUUGGAUGUGAAAUCCCCGGGCUCAACCUGGGAACUGCAUUCAAAACUGUCGAGCUAGAGUAUGGUAGAGGGUGGUGGAAUUUCCUGUGUAGCGGUGAAAUGCGUAGAUAUAGGAAGGAACACCAGUGGCGAAGGCGACCACCUGGACUGAUACUGACACUGAGGUGCG
rnacentral:rRNA from 1 species